CUACGGGAGGCAGCAGCAAGGAAUUUUGCGCAAUGGGCGAAAGCCUGACGCAGCGACGCCGCGUGGGGGAUGAAGGCCUUCGGGUCGUAAACCCCUUUUCCUGGGGAAGAAUUAUGACGGUACCCGGGGAAUAAGUCUUGGCUAACUACGUGCCAGCAGCCGCGGUAAUACGUAGGAGGCAAACGUUAUUCGGAUUUACUGGGCGUAAAGCGGGUGUAGACGGCUUUUUAAGUCAGAUGUGAAAUCUCCUGACUCAAUCAGGAGGGGACAUUUGAUACUAAGAGGCUGGAGGACGGUAGAGGAAGACGGAACUCCCGGUGUAGCGGUGAUAUGCGUAGAUAUCGGGAGGAACACCAGUGGCGAAGGCGGUCUUCUAGGCCGUUCCUGACGUUGAGGCCCAAAAGCGUGGGGAGCGAAACGGAUUAGAUACCCUGGUAGUC
rnacentral:rRNA from 1 species